GGUCAGGCCCAGGGGAUUGGGUGUCAGAGUUUGGGCACCUGGAGACCAGCCCCCAGACUGCCAGCACUGCCUAUAAUUAGCUGGGCUCGGUCAGGGACGGGGCCCUGGGGGCGCGUUCCGUCCUGCCACGCUGUCAGGAGUAGAGCAGGCUCAAGUGAGAGGGCAAGCGGAACGCUGGUGUCUUCGGAGGGUGACUACUGGCAUGGUGGCUAGACGGGCGGGGUACAGUUCUGGCAAUCCAGUGAGCUUGGGCCAUGAGUGUCUCGGACUCGGCACAUCGUCCCUCAGACCCUGGACAAGUCUCUCUUCCGGUCCGGAAGGACGGCCUUGGCCUCCCUUUGGCCACCAGGAGAACCCCCUCCUGGUCUCCGUCCCCGGACGAGGAUCAAGGUUUGCCCCCCUUUCCUCUGGAAGAGCCUGGCCCCAGGCCCAUGGCCCCGGGGAGCCUUCCCUCUCCAGCCUUGUCCCUAGAGAAAGAAGAGGAGGAGGAAGAGGAUGAGGACGGAGAAGACGCGGAGGAGCCCGAGGAGCUGCGCAGCGAGGCGCAUCCCAGCCAGUUUUUCGCGGAGGCACAGCGGCUGCGAGAGCAGAGGUUGUUGCUGGAUGAAGACGUGUCAGUCGGGGGGCGAGUAUACGGGGUGCAUCGGGUGAUCUUGGCCGCAGUCAGCAGCCUCUUCAGAGGCAGGCUGCUGGGCAGCAGAGGUCUGCAACGCCCCCUCAGCCUGGAUGUAACCCCCGGGGCCUGGGAGGCCGUGCUGACCUUUGCCUAUGAGGGGGUGCUGGGACCCGCCCCACGGGGGGAUGUGCUGGUGGCGGCUGAAGCCCUGGGAGCACCCCGGGUGAAGGCUGCGGCCCAGUGGGGACGCGAGGGGGCUGGAAGCACCCGGGAAGAUGAAAAGCAGCCCAGCCAGGCAGAGGAACUGAGAGAGAACCUGCGCACCAUGGAAUUCCUGUACCAAGAAGGCAUCGGGUGUGACCUGGAGCUGGAGGCAGGCGGCUGCCGGCUGCGGGUGCACCGAGCAGCCCUCGCCUGUGGCAGUGAGUUCUUUGGGGCCAUGCUCCUGAGCGGGAUGAGGGAAUCCCAGGGCACAGAGGUGUCUCUGCAUACCAUCUCUGCCCAGGACCUGCGACUCCUUGUCUCCUUUGCCUACUCUGGGGUUGUGCGGGCAAGGUGGCCAGGACUGCUGAGAGCCGCCCAGGCUGCUCUGCAGUACCAGAGCUCUUCCUGCCUGGCUCUGUGCCAGAGAGCCUUGGCACAAGGCCUCAACCCUGCCCGUUGCCUGGCCCUGAUCCUCAUGGCUGAAGCCCCUGGGCUGGAGAGGCUCUGGAGCAAAGCCCGUCACUACCUCCUCACCCACCUACCUGCUGUGGCUUUGUGUUCCGCUUUCCCAUCUUUACCGGUCGCCUGCCUGGCUGAGCUCCUGGACAGCGAUGAGCUACACUUGCAGGAGGAGUUCGAGGCCUUUGCGGCUGCACGGCGUUGGCUAGCUGCCAACCCUGACACCCAGGAGUCAGAGGCCAAGGCCCUGCUUCGAUGCGUCCGCUUUGGCCGUAUGUCCACCAGGGAGCUGCGGAGGGUACGCGCGGCUGGGCUGCCUCCACCCUUGAGCCCGGACUUGCUGCGUCAGCUGAUGGUGGAGGCUGAGGUUCCAGGACAAGGCAGAUGGAGGGAGCCUGACCAAGCACUAGUAGUGAUUGGCGGGGACGGGCUCAGAUCAGACAUGGCCAUGAGACAGCCGUCCCGAGGAGUGUGGUGGGCCCGGGCCUUUCGCUGUGGCGUAGGACUGGUUCGAACUGUGGAGUGGGGACGGCUGCCUCCCCUGCCUGCCCCCGGGCGCUUUCGGCACGGGGCGGCGAGCCUAGCUGGAAGUGAGCUCUACGUGUGUGGCGGACAGGAUUUCUACGGCCACUCGAACACCCUGGCUUCGACUCUCAGGUGGGACCCCAGGCAAGAGGACUGGGAGGAGAUGGCACCUUUGUGCCAGGCUCGGAGCUUUUUCCCCCUGGUGGCACUGGAUGGACUGCUUUAUGCCCUGGGUGGACGAGACAGUGGUGUUGCCCUCAGCUCUGUGGAGACUUAUAGCCCCAAGCUCAAUAUCUGGAGGCCGGCACCUGCUCUUCCAGCACCACGCUUUGCCCACGCAGCUGCUGUUUUGGAGGGCCAGCUGUACGUGAGCGGCGGCUGCAGCGGGACUGGCCAGUACCUGGCCUCGUUGCUGCACUAUGACCCCAAGCUUGAGAAGCCGGGGACACUUCUGAGCCCUAUGGGGCACAGUGCUUUACAACUCACACAGCGGUUUUGUAUAUAUGAUCUGCAUUGAUGAAAAGCUGGCUCUGGAAUUCCUAGGGAAAGAGCAUUGGGGAAGGAGAGGCAGCUGAAUACCUAGUUAUUAAUUAUCUACUGUGUGCCGGGUACGAUGUGAGGCACUAAGGAUCCCAAGGAACAUAGUUGAAAAUGAGGAGGGGUAAGUAGGCUAUAUAAGAGAACAGAGAAGAAAGAUUGAAGAAGACAGGGAAGAAGGAAAUCGGAAGCACUGAGAAACUACGAGGAUUGAGUCUUUAGGGUGAAGUUCUGUGAACAUGCUCUGUGAUUUGUAUGCAAGGACAGGCUUAAAUAAAGGUUUCACCAUGACUGAAUCAUUCUUGUCUAAGUUUCUCUAUUGUAAAAAACAUUCAAUAUCCCUUGUAAUUUGGUUUCUGUCUCCACCACACUACUGAAACCAUCCUCCUUCAUUGUCACCAUGACCUACUUCUCACCAAAUCAAACAAUCUAAGGCCACCCUCAUUUUCCUUCAUCUUUCUGCAGGAAUUGGCUGGCUUGAAAAUUGGCUUUUACCCUAAAAAUUUCUCCUUCCCUGGCUCCAGAGAUAGCACACUCUCCUACUCUUCUUACUUCUCCAAUCCAAAGAGGUGGCUGAAAGUCAAAUCAUAGUGUCCAAGAGGGGGUGGUGCCAUCCCAGGCAGAGCUGACAGCCAAAGGUCCAAAAUUAUGUAGAUGGGGGAGUCAGCUGCAGAAGGCUCUAGCUUUCAUUACUUUUUUUGUUUGUUUGUUUUUUGUUUUUGGCCGCACCCCAUGGCAUGCGAAACCCGUGCCCCCUGCAGGGGAAGCACG